UUUCCUACGGGGGGCAGCAGUAGGGAAUUUUCGGCAAUGGGGGGAACCCUGACCGAGCAACGCCGCGUGAAGGAAGAAGGAAUUCGUUCUGUAAACUUCUGUUAUAAAGGAAGAAAGACGGAUGGAGGAAAUGACAUCCGAGUGACGGUACUUUAUGAGAAAGCCACGGCUAACUACGUGCCAGCAGCCGCGGUAAUACGUAGGGGGCAAGCGUUAUCCGGAAUUACUGGGCGUAAAGGGGGAGCAGACGGCUGAGAAAGUCUGGGGUGAAAGGCUGAAGCACAACUUCGGGACG
rnacentral:rRNA from 1 species